GGCUGGGUGGCCGAGCGGUCUAAGGCGGUAGACUCAAGAAAUCCCACUUUCUUCCUUGCAGUGAUGCGAGGUGAUUUCUACUCUCGAAAGAGGCGCGCGUUCGAAUCGCGCCCCAGUCA